AGCCAGAGGUGAGACACAGCCAUUUUGAUGGGGGGGAGGGGGUGUCUAACUACACAAUGAGGUCAUCCUAUCUCCCGGAAGUGACAAGUAAUCACCUGCUUUUUACUAGCUCCUCCCCUUCCCUCAGAGGUCCCGCCCCUCUGCCCGCAGCCGGGAGGGUGUUAGGGGGCGUUUCUCCCAGAGCAAAGCUGAGAGCUGCGACGCAGAGGAAGGGGACCCCAAAACGUCUGGCACUGCCUCCUCCAGGGAACACUUUGGACCGUCUCACUCAGCCCAGCGGGAUUCUGAAACGCCGAGGGGUCAACCUGAUGGGUUUCGGGGUCAACGGAAGAGGGGAAGGGGAGCCCUGGCGGGGAGAACCCCCCGGCCCCCCGCCCAGCAGCUGAGGCACAGGAGGGCGGCCAUCUUGGCCGGUAGGGUAGGGCCAGGAGGCUGCGGGCGCUGUGCGAUUGGGGGGCUCGCCCGGAAGUGACGCCGACCGCCCGGAAGCGGAGGGGGUUCCCUUGCCCACUCCCCCCGUUCGUCUGCUCCCCGCUUCCUCCCCGCCCCCCUUCCUCUCCAUUCGUUCCCCCCCUCCCCGGUCCCUGCCUUCUCCCCCCACCCGUCCCUCCCCCCCAACCUCCGGAGCUGGGAAGAGAGUCAAGAUGGCGGCGAAAUCCGAUGGCGGUGGCGUGGGGGUGGGCUUCGCCCAGCUGCACAACCUGGACGAGGCGGUGGGCAGCGGCGAGGAGGACGGGGAGCCCGGGGGAGGCGGCUGCGGCGGCGGCGACGGCAGCGAGCCCGGCGAGAGCAGCUCGCUGCACAUCUGCCACUGCUGCAACACCUCCUCGUGCUACUGGGGCUGCCGCUCCGCCUGCCUGCGCUCGCUGCUGGGCAAGAAGCCGCGCCGCAGCGCCGCCGCCGCCGACGGGGGGGACCAGCCGCUGCAGCCGCCCGGGGCAGCCGGCCGCCACCCCCCGACGCCCUCGGCCGGCCGACCGCAGCCCGCGUCGCCGCAGGUGGAGCGGCCGUGGCUUGACUGCCUGUGGAUCGUGCUAGCGCUGCUGGUGUUCUUCGGGGACGUGGGUACCGACCUGUGGCUGGCCCUCGACUACUACCGCAAGGGGGACUACGGCUGCUUCGGGCUGACCCUGUUCUUCGUGCUGGUGCCGUCGCUGCUGGUGCAGAGCCUGAGCUUCCGCUGGUUCGUGCAGGACUACACGGGCGGCGGGCUGGGCGCCGUGGAGGGGCUCAGCAGCCGGGGACCCCCAAUGAUGGGGGCCGGCUAUGGCCACGGCGCGGCUCGCGGCGGCCCGGGCGCGGGGGGCUCGGCCACCCCGGGGGCGCAGCGUCUGUGCCGCCUCUCCGUGUGGAUCUGGCAGUCGGUCAUCCACCUGCUGCAGAUGGGGCAGGUGUGGAGGUAUAUCCGCACCAUGUACCUGGGGAUUCAGAGCCAGCGGCAGAAGGAACACCAGCGGCGCUUCUACUGGGCUAUGAUGUACGAAUAUGCAGAUGUCAACAUGCUGCGCCUCCUGGAGACCUUUCUGGAGAGCGCCCCCCAACUGGUGCUACAGCUCUGCAUAAUGAUCCAGAAGAACAGUGCAGAGACGCUGCCCUGUGUCUCCUCUGUGACUUCCCUGAUGUCCCUGGCUUGGGUGCUAGCUUCCUAUCACAAGCUGCUGCGGGACUCCAGGGACGACAAGAAGAGCAUGAGUUACAGAGGGGCCCUCAUCCACCUCUUCUGGCGCCUCUUCACCAUCUCAUCCCGAGUUAUCUCUUUCGCCCUCUUUGCUUCCAUCUUCCAGCUGUAUUUCGGGAUCUUCGUGGUGGUGCACUGGUGCGCCAUGGCCUUCUGGAUCAUCCAUGGUGGGACAGACUUCUGCAUGUCCAAGUGGGAGGAGAUCCUCUUCAACAUGGUGGUAGGGAUCGUGUACAUUUUCUGCUGGUUUAACGUCAAGGAAGGGCGGACUCGAUAUCGAAUGUUCGCAUACUAUACGAUAGUCUUGACCGAGAAUGCUGCCUUGACGUUCCUUUGGUAUUUUUACAGAAAUCCGGAGAGCACUGACUCCUAUGCCGUGCCAGCACUGUGUUGUGUCUUCGUUAGCUUUGUGGCUGGGAUUACGCUCAUGCUCUUAUACUAUGGCGUGUUGCAUCCCAUGGGGCCGCGGGCUAAGGUCUUUGCCAGCUCCUGUUGUGCCGAGCUGCUCUGGGGCAUCCCUUUGCCCCCUGAUGUUGAGCCUAUGGCACCUCAGACCCCUGGGUACCGGGGGACCCAGGUCACGCCCACCAGAGCCGUGACGGAACAGCAGGAGGACCUCACGGCUGAUACUUGCCUGCCCGUAUUCCAAGUGAGACCCAUGGGGCCCUCUACCCCCUCAGGGCGUCCUUACCACCCAGAAGGGCCCCUGAUUAAGAUUGACAUGCCAAGAAAGCGGUACCCGGCCUGGGAUGCGCACUUUGUAGACAGGAGGCUGCGGAGGACUAUUAACAUCCUGCAGUACGUCACCCCCACCGCAGUGGGCAUUCGCUACCGAGAUGGGCCUCUGCUCUAUGAGCUGCUGCAGUAUGAGUCUUCACUCUAGAACACCUUUAUCCAGAUUGAGAAGGGGACCUUAAGUUUGGUUGCGGUCAACGCCGCCUGCAAGAAAUAUAACCCUCCCUUCCCCAAUACACAGAACCACCACCACCACCGCCACACCAACAACACCAACACUACAAAAAGAUCAAUAAGUCACAUCCCCUUCAGAUAAGCUUUCUUUCCAGUCACUAUAUGUAUACAAAGAUAUUCUCUAUGUUUUAUAAGUAAAAACAAAAAGAAAAUCUUUCUUUUGUUUUUUACACAUAAGAAACAGUAUUGAAAAAAAUUAAAUAAUCCCACACUACAGUUCCUAGGAUGGAGAAGGAAAGCUAAUCUCCUCUCCAAAACAAACAAACAAACAAACAAACAAACAAACAAACAAAAGUUUUCUACUUUACACCAAGUGUAGAUCAUUUAUGGGAUUGGUGCUGAUUGAGAGAACAAAACAAAACAAAACAAAACAAACAAAACCUUCAACUGCCUUAUGCCCUUAGGUGCUGAGUUUCUUUAGGUACUGUCACGUUUCCUCACAGAAAACUCUCUGGUAACUUUUGUACUAGAGAGAAAAAAAAUUAAAUAAUCAAAUGAAACAAAAAUCUACCAACAAAGCAAAUAAACUAAAACCAAAACAAUCCUUCCUAUCUGAUGAUUUGUAUCGAAAACCAAGCAAACAAACAAAUUGACCAAAAGCAAAGGCAUAGAAGCCCCUCUCUCUGUUCAGUUUCUCCUGCCCCCUCCCCAUUUUACAAAGCCUUCUGGAAGCUAAAGGGCUACUUGGAUCUCCACUGGCCAGAAAAGCUCCGUGAAGGCUGGCUAUGUGCCAUUUUAACAUUUGCCUAGCAACAACUGCAUUGUUUUCCCGUGCAGAAAAAUAAAUAAAAAUAAAAAAUAAACCCAAAACACAAAGAGAAUGAAACUCCCAAACACCCAAUUUGAUAAAUUCUAAAAGCAGAUCAAAGGAGAUGUUCAUAAACGCCAUCAAAGAGAAUCAGCAAUGAUUAAACUCAGCAUGGUAGCAAAAGGGACCACAUCAGUUUAAAGGCACAAUACUGCAAUGAUCUCUUCUGUCACUUUAAGGCUGAGAAGGGUGCGUGCAUGUGUAUGAGUGUGUGUCACGUGUGACAGUGUGUAAGGCCUCUUCUCUUUUCAUUUGGUGGGAAGCCUUAAAUUGAUCUGGAAAGAAUUUUUCAUUUUUCAUCUGUGCUUAAAAAAAUAACAUAAAGAGGAACACUAGAAUAUCUAUCUAUCUAUAAAAAAGUCAAACCAUAUUAACCGACCCAUUUCACAGACUGGUGCUUCUGUCAAUGUGGUUGGCUGAUACUCAUUCAGCCUGGUGCAUUUGGGGUGUAUGGACAGUGUGUGUGUGUGUGUGUGUGUGUGUGUGUGUGUGUGUGUGUGUGUGUGUGUGUGAACACCUGCUGUAAGGUCUUGCCAGAAAUACACAGAACUGAAGUGAGGUAAAUGCUGUGCUGUGGUAGCUGGGAGACGAAGCAAGAAGGCUGGGUGGGAAGGUUGGGUAGGUGGCAUCUGUGUGUGGCCAUCUUCCUGGAGAGCAAGUCCCCAUCCCGGCAGAGGCUGAUCACCCAGGCCCUGUGGCUUUGGUGAGGAUCAGAGUUUUUUUUCUCACUAUACCAAGGUGAAUUUCUGGAGGUGUCACAGGUAUGCCUGACCAUUUGUAAAACUUUUUAAUUUGUUUUUGGAAGGUACUGUUUCUUUAAAGAGUAUUUCUGUUUUAGGGUAUUAUUUCGAUACCAUUUUAUCUCUACUUGGGCACAAAAAAAAAGAAAAAAGAAAAAAAGAAAAAAAGAAAAAAGAAAAAGAAAUUUAAUCAUAAAAAGAAAAAUAUCUCCACAAAAGAUAUAUAUGUGUAAAUAUAUAUAUAUAUCUAUAUAUAUACAUACACAGUAUUUUUAAGUACAUACUGUUAGUCUUUGUUGUCUGUGGUUGAAAUUGGUUUUUAAUUCUGGAUUAACUGUUCAGGGUGCAAGACCUCACACUGAGCUAUUCUUAAGAGAAGUUCAAAAACUGAGGAAAUUUUUUCUGUUUGUGAUUGAGGGAUUUUUAAAUUUUAUUUUAAAUAACUGUUAAAAAGACAAAACUCAGUCCCUCUUUGUUACCCCUUUAUAGUUUACCUGAAUCUUCUCUUUCUUUUCUUAAAUCUUUAAAAUAUUGUAUUAGUUGUGAAACCCUCCUUUGUUCCACUGUCUUAUCUCAUGUGUCACUGCUACUUUGCAGGACUUCCCUUAGAUGGGGUCUCUGGGGGUCCUACCUGGUCCCUGCUCUGGGAAGCAGGAUACAACAGAGCACACUUGGGCUGAGGUGAAGACCAGCUGGGCUGCCCACCUGGCAGUGACAAGACAGGGAGAGAGGGAUUGCUUGGAGCUGUGUGUGAGAGCAGUGAACAAAGGGAGCUUCCUAUAUGACCUGUCCACUUGUACUUUCUGGGGCUCCGCCCCCAAGCUCCACCCAAUACUCUGCUCAGGCUGGGCAAGAUGAGUCCAUUUGUGGGGUGGCAGGGCAUCCCUUCGGCUAGCUUUGGUUCCAGGUCCUGUCUGUCUCAGGUCUGGAGCUUUGUGUGCCAGUGAAUAACUUCCUUGAAGCUGUUCAGUGCCACAAGUCCCCUCUGGACCUCUGCCACUCCACUUGUAUGUCUACUUUUAGACACUUUUCCAUUUUAUCUCUUGCUCUUUGACCCCACCAUUGGCUUUAGUCUGCCAUCUUUGUGUGACCACUCUAUCUUGGGCAAGUAUGUACAAGCACACGUGCCCGUGUUUAUACAAAGCUUAGAAAUUGUGGGUGUUGGUUGAGAACAUCCAGAGUGGGAAAAACAGCUUCUAGCUUAUGGAGGCUUGAGCCAUGGUCAGUGAAGGAGGAAGAGGUGAGGCCGUAGAUGUCUCACAAGCCCUUUGCUUCAGCUGCGCUGGGUUUGGGCUCCCUUUCUUCUUUAGUAGCAUUUCUGUUCUUCUCCCAAGCACCCCCACUAUACCUUACCUUUUCCAAUAAUGCAAUUGGGAAUCUGUGGGCAGUAUGAAGGAAGACCAGAGAGACAAGAAAAAGGAAGAAGCGUGAGCCAAACAGCAGAGAACAGGGCAGGAGGAAGCAAGGUCCAAGAGACUAGAUCUGUGUCUUCUGGCAGCAUCACCCUCAUCUUGUAGAGAGUCCUAUUUCCAAACUACAUUGUUCCCAAGCAUUACUUCCCAUGAAGUCUUCUAUUCUUCCCCUUUAGAGGCCAUUGGUAACUCAAGUGUCAGUAAAGGACUUCACACAUUCUCAGUGUCUUCCUCACAGAUGACUUGGGCACGCCACAGCAGGACCACUGCGCUGAGUCAUAGUGCCAUCACCCCCUGGCAAUCUGCCCUGAUAACCUUUUGUUUCACGAGUCAAUAAAAUCUAUCCAAGUUUUCCCAACCGCAGCCUACAGUGUUUGUAACAGACAUCUCUGCAGCUCUUUCUUUCCCUGGAUCUCUGGAUGGCAAAUAACCAACUCCUGAUCUUUAGCUUUGAUAGAUAAGACUGUUGGUACCUUGUUCUGUCUUUCCAGACUGUCCCCCACCAUACACUAUGCCUGUAGACCCUCACAUUUCACUUCCCUAACCCCACAGAAUAUCAGUGCAAUGAGAUUAGUUUUGUUGCUAUUGUUUCUAAAAAGCCUCCCCCCUCCGCAUACUGGGUGGAUCUGCCUUGGGAAUCUUCCGGUCUUUCAGGGACAUAAUAGAGGAAGUUAAGAAGAUCUAAAUCCACCAAAUCUGUUCCUAUGCCCCUAAAAUUCCAGAUAUCUCAAAAAAAAAGUCCCCCUACUCUUUAAGAUCAGCCUCGUCCUGCAUUUGGAACCAGGGAUGUUAGGAGGAAUCCACAAAGCCCAGGUAGAUUGGGGCAGGAGACAGUGGGCUCCAUCUUUCCUAACUAUCCUAAUCAAGGGAAGACACAUCUUCCCACAGCCUGAAGGACCCCUCUAUCCUACUCUGCAGAUACAGGAUCACCCAAUUCUUUGUGGUCCCUGUGACCUCUCAGCAGCAGUGACUCCCUAGGACCUCAUGGUGGUUAAAAGUAGGCAGAUCCUGUCUAGUUCCAAGGACAACUGUCCUGGUCAUAUGACCUUUCAUGCUUCAUGUUUUAGACCCAAUUUUCAGAGAGACAUCUGGUAUUUUUAAAAGCACCAAGUCAUGUAACUUUCUCCAUUCUUCUUCCAGCCUGACCUGCUGUCACCACUUAGAUGUGUGUCUCCUUCUGAGCAGCUCUGGGAAGGUCAGGUGCCCCUUCCUCACAUGCAUCUGAGCUCCCUUUGCAGUUCCUCGUGCCUGAGAAAGAACUCAUGAUUGCCUCCCCCCUCAUCUAUUCUGUGCCUCAAUACAUGGAUCUCUCAUGAUCCCCAAGCCUUGAUGCGUCUAGACCUGAGAAUUUCUUCUCUACCCAUUACCUUAGAACAGAGCCUAAGUGUGCAGGUUUGGGCCCCUGGUGCAUAGAUGGGAUAUAGAGGAGAAUGAAGCUGGAGUGUAUUCAGGAUUCCAACACCCUGAAGUGCUAAGUCUCAGGCCAGGUAGGCUGUGGCUGGUCAUCUUGUAUCCAUUUGCCCUGUAAUUGGCAAAUAUUAAAACAACCCCACCAGAUUUGACCAGGAGCAUGGCAUACAAUUUAACAUGUAAGAGGUCAGUGUGAUUCCGUGGACCCAAGUGGCACUUCUAGAGUUGCUUAGGAAACUGCCAGGGAAAUCUGAGCAUGCCCCAGGGAAUCAUGGGAAAGACGAUACAUGGAAGAAAGAGAGGACUUUGAGGAGUCAACCUCCUCAGGUACUGACCAGCCUGCCAGAGAGUAGUUCCAGGCAUCGUGGUCUCAAACACCUGCUGAUUCCCGAGCUCCCCUCUUUUCAAGACACAGCAUAGCCUCCUGUGGGAAAUAAGAAGCUAAGCUCAACCUUUGCUCCUUUCAUCAAGACCCAGUUGGACAUGAGAUAGAUGUUAUGGGAACCUCUCUAGGUUCAAGUAUGUCCUUACUUUAGCUCCUCUUCUCAAACUGAGCCCUGUGCUAGUUUGGGCUUCCUUCUUUUCUCAUCUACAGCCCAACCUCUGGAAUGUGGCAUUGGUAAUGGUUUACUAAUGGCAGGCAGCAGCCUUCUCCACUCUUAAGAGCAUCCUAAGUCAACAUGUGCCUGUCUCAACUUUGAAAUGUAAAACGAUGUAAAUUUUCUUACAGGUUUUCUCUUAGCCUUUCCUGGAGUGAAAGGAAGAUGUUGUGACAAAGUUUGGCUCACCCUCCCCAUCCUUGGCUGUUUGAAAGGUUUAGGUUUUUCUCUCUAAACACUGCAUCUGUUGCUACUGGCUAAAUGUCAAAAGAUACUAACUUGACCUAGUCCCAGCUUUCUUCUCUGCCCACGUGGAUCUUUCGGCUUUACUUGCCUCCUAGGCAUUGUCUGCUUCUUUCUCUCUCUACCUUACUUUGUGGUGACUGGCAGGACACAGCAGGAGUGUUCUGGAGCCAAAGGUCGUGAGUGCUAUUAAUGAUGGCCAGAGAGCAGCAGACAGACUGUCUCUGCAGGAGAUUCCCCUUCUUCAGGCCAGCACCUGUGUCAAGGGCUAAGAAUAGACCACAGGAGCAGGCAAGGCAAGGACCUAGAGACACUUGCCCUGGGGUGCCCCCAUUGCAUGGAGAAAAUGUGUAUGUCCAAGUAGGAGACGUUGCCUUGGCUGGUCUCCAGCAAGGAUCCCUAGCCCCCUCCUCAGACUAAAGUCAGUCAGGGAUCUCUGUUCCUACCUUUGGGGAGGAUGGCUUCUAGAGCAUCACCUUCAAGGCAAGGGGACUUUCCUCUUGGUAACUGGGAAAGCACCUGUCUCUCAGUAACCUUUGGCCAUCUGUCACUGCAGAUACAGAUGAGCAGUCAGCCAUCUGACUCUUGUCCAUCCUCAAUGUAGACCUGGGGUCCUCAGGCUUGAAGACUUGUUUUAGCUUCACACUUCCUAGGUGCUCUGCCUGAAGUCAGAAAGACCAAGAAGGGCCACCGGCUGACGUAGGGCUCCACUGUGACCAUGGAUAACUCACUUCACCUCUUGGUGUAUUGGUUUCUCCAUCAGUAAAGUGGAUGGUGAGCAGAUAACCUCUGCUUUCCCUCCUGCUCAGGGAUGCUCCAACAAUUCGGUCAAUGCUGCCUGUAUUGGAGGCAUCUCAUAAGAAUAACGGUGACUCCAUUCCUUAGGAAUUAGAAGUAUGGAAAAGGAGGAGGUUUCAGAUAUACUUGACACCCAGAAGCAUAGGAGAUGAGCAGAAAGGGGAUGCAGACAGGGAGAGAGCCUUGGAUCAUCAGAUAUGUCACAGCAUUGUUAACUUGCAGGACAGUAGUGUCAUCUGGCCAGGGACAUCUGGUCACCUGGCACCUGCUGGGCAUCUGUCAAUUCUUAAGUCCCAUGAUGUUAGUUUUUCCUGAAUGACCAGAGGAAAUACAAGGGACUGUGCUUCUGGAAAUGGCUACUAACGGAGCAGCUGACAGACACGAGAUCCCAGAGCAAAGUGGCUCUGGGAUGGUUUGGGAGGUGCCAGAGCUCUCUGGGAAGGGUCUCUUGCCUUUACUGAAAUCCUUGAGCUUUUUCUUCUCAAAUGGACUCAUCUCCCCCAGGACCCACGCAGAGUACAGAAAGCCCAGAUGUGCUUUUCCAGUACCCAUAUUGUCAAGUACAAAUGCUCAUGCACGGCAUGGUCCUUCACGCUCCCUGGUGUGCUCUGCAUGGAGCCUGCAGGCAAAACUUCAGAGAUGUGUGGGACCAGGGAGUAACAUGCAAUUUCUUUUCUUUUCUUUCUGUUUUACCAAGUUGGGAUAUUUUCCUCCUCACAAUUUGAAUUGAAAAAGUUAAGUUCAAUUUUUUUCCUCUCCCUGACCCCGCCUCCUUUUAAACUAUGGUUUGACUGUUAUCAUUUCAAAUACCAAGAUACACUUGGAACAAGGAAACAGACCCAUCCUGAGAACCUCACUGUUCUUAGGACCUAACCCAGAGUGAGAGCAGGUGCGAGCCAUGGAGGAUAUUAGCACUCAGAGGUGAAGCCAUGAUACCAAUUCUAAACUGGCUCCGAGAACCGUCUUGCAAAAAGAGAACUAUAGAAGUCCAAGUUCCCAUGGAUCAGUCAACCUGGUCCUGAGCUAGGUCUGUCCUGGUAUAGAUAUUCUCACCAAAAAUUACAAAAAGAAAGAAAAGCCACUAUGUGAGACUGCCCCAGAGGAACAGAGUGCUCUCAAGGGCAGGUCAUGGGUACUGCUGCCAAAUUCUUCUGCCCUUGACCAUGGAGCCCUGACCUGACUCUCUUUGCACCUGCUCUGACUCUGGUCUGUGAGGUUAAUGCUAUUCGAUGCAAAGGAUUGGAUCGAGUGGCCACACUCUGAAAGUCAGUAAUAGCUCCUUUGAGUUUGUGUCUGUGUGUAGUGAGGCCCACCCUGCUGGCCUUAUCUGUCCCCACGAGGUGUUUCAGGUGCAACAGAAAGGAGUACAGGCACCUCCAGCUGCACCUCUGCACCCAUCUGUGCUCAUUCUGACUCAUGAAAAGACCCUGCAGCAUUUGUGAACAGGGACUUGGAAGAUGGAUGCUCAGAGCCACGGAGAGCCUCGAUGGAUGGAUGGCAGGCAAGAGAUAAGGAUGAGGCAGGAUUCCGGAAGUGUGCUGAAGGAAACUGUGUCCAGCUGGCCAGUGCUUCCAAUUCCCUGGGGCAGAAACAGCAGAGUGUAUUCUUUUCGAACACAGGAAGUUGAUUUUACAGAGUGACUUCUUUAAGCAUUUUCUUUGUUUUAACAAAAGGGUCAGAGAAAGCAUUUAAAUAAAAACAUGGUGCUUUCUCGUGGACAGACAGAUUGCGUCAUUGGGAAUUGCAAGACUGCCCUUUUGGAAAUGUACCCAAGUCGAGUCACUCUGGAGCCAAUUUCUCUUUCUGUGCCAUGAGAAUAUUGCUUACCUACCUCACAGGGGUGUUGUGAGGAUAAAGCAGUUUAAGGUUUAGUUAAAGCACUUUGAGGAUAACAGUGUUAUGAUUACAAGUCUGCUUUCUGUUUAAUGCCUUUUUCAGCACUGAUUGAACACUGACUAAAUAUGAGGUGCCAUGAUAUGUGCAGGAGAAAGGAUCACAGACUAAGUCCUUACCUUCUUUCAUUUAUGUAUAUUUUACAAUGAUAACAGAGAAUAAUGGAGCUGGCUCAAUGUGGGGUUAUAUUGUCAUCUGCUCCCAGAAAGGCCACUCUCCUUUUAGAGUUGAAAAGUGGGCCUUCCAGGCAUGCCCUGGCUUCUGUCAGACUGUGCUCCUGAGAAGCUCUCUCCUUCCUCUGUGAGGAGAUGAAGGCAAGGAGCUUGUGCGCCCUGGGACCAGUGCUUACUACUUUGGUUCUGCUGUUGCAAGUAUUCCUCCCGGGCUCAGUGUGGCGGCAGCUCUCUUCUCUCUUUAGAUCCAGAGUCCCUGUGGCAGUCCUGGAAUAGCUUGGUAGUUUUUUGGCUUGUUUGUUUCCUUGGAAAGCCUGGUACUCUGUUUGCUGGAAAGCCUUGGCUUCCAAAGACGAGGAUCUUUGCCUGAAGACAAAAUGUUUGACUGUCUUGUUUGCCUUUGCAUUUUGGUGGUGGGGGAAGAUUUUCAAAUCUCGCAUAAAACAAAGCCUGCUUAAGUUUCUCAUUUGCUUUUCCAUGUGCAUUGAGCCCUUCCUUUCCCAGCACACGAUAUGGGACAAAUGUGUCUUGUAACAAACAGCACAUUUCAAGUUGUUCGAGGAGUACCGUGCCAUAGGCUUGCUGGUUUCUGCCAAGAACCUCAGCUUCAGAGCUGAGCAAGGCGAGCUUCCAGCCACAAAUUCAGGCCUCCUAGAAACACUCCCUGGCCUGUUAGCUUUGGAACUCCCAAUGUCUGCAGGGCUGUGUCCCUGGGUCCCCGGUAAGUCUCCUGCCAUCAGAGUCUCCUCAGAACCCAGUAGGGCCAUCCUCUUUGUUUUAGAACCAAAGCAAAGUCAUCAAUUAUUCUGAAAAUUGUCCUGUGAUUCCAGUCUUUGAAGAAUUGCUGGGUUUUCCUUUGAGAAGGGAGAAGUGACAAAGAAAAGGGGAGGAGGUUAUUUGUCUUGGAUGGGGAACCACAGGGGUCUCGAGUGGGUUUCCCUAGGCACUGAGGCUGCUAGAGGGCAUGUCCUUGUGCUCACCCAGAGCCCGUAGUAGUGGGGGCUCCAGUGUUGGUCCUUCUGAACUUCAGCUGCUUCAGUGUCCUUCCCGUGUGGAGGAGCACUUCGUAUCCCAUGUUGUUGAUUCCAAAAGACCUUCCUUCUGUGCUGCCAGUCCCUAUGUGUGCCUCCUCCCACCCAUCUCCCUUCCUUUCCCUCACCCUUGUUGUCCUCAUAACCCCAGAGUCACACGGGACUUAUUACAUCCAAGUGUAGUCAGUCCAUCUUUGGGCCCUGGAAACAUCGCUAGGACUUUUGUUGCCAAACCCAACUGUGAGUAAUAUUUCCAUUAUCUCUCCACAUCCAUGGGGUAUUUUCUGGAAGAACAAACAUUAAAGAAAGCCACUUUCCUAUAAGUAUUAUGGAAAAGCUGCUCCUUGGGGUAGGAGGAAAGCAGUUGGAAAGUCAUGAAAAAUGAGAGUUCACUCGCAGAGAGGCAGCUCCUACUCAGCCUUAAGCUUUGGCCUUAAAGAAAAUGAUGGGUGUGUUACAGAAAAGAAUAUCUUAAGAAAAGGAAAGAAAGAAAGAAGAAAAGAAGGAGGGAGAGGAGUAGGCAGGAAGGGACGGAGAGAAUGGAAGGGAGGGAAAAAUUGAGAGACAGAGAGGGAGAAAGAGGAAAUGACCCUAUUGAGCUCUCCCUGUCAUCUCUCGUUGUCAUCAGGCUGUUACCAUGUUUUUUGUUUUUUGUUUUUGUUAUUGUUCAAAGCAAAUACAUAUCUGACCCUCACCCCCAAGUUCCAGUAUUUUCUGCUCAGUGUCUUCCUGCUAGCCAGCUCUGGUACAGGCUUCCAGCCUCACUAACUCACUCUGUUAUGCUCUGGCUUUUCUUGAGUCUUCGGAACUCAACCCCUCCACCAGAAGACUAGAAUCCACUUUCCUCAGAAUGGUAGCAAGCUGGGGUCAUUUUCUUAUAUCUGUCUAAGCUUUCCUUUUGGAGGCUCUUCUCUCAACCCAAUAAUAGUCUGUGUGCUGCUAGCUGGCUCUUUACAGAGUCAGAGAAGUCAAACCCCUCGAGUAGUUUAGAGACUUGAGUGUACACCAUUUUUAAUUUUCAUGAAGGGCUAACCUCAGGGUGUUGUGCCCCAUUGACCUUAUGUCCACUAUGGGCACUGGUGGUUUGAGAAAUGGGUUAUAAUCAUUUUCCUGGAUUUCAGUGGAGCAAAGUUGUAAUUAAUCUUGAAAUUCCAAGGGUUUACCCCACAGACCAAUGAGCGGGCAUCUACUAUCCAUGAAAGGUGAAGACUUAGAACAUCACUUCCAAGCUACCACUGGUGACUUGGACCAUCCCUUCCUGAUUAUAUGAGGCCAGAGGCACAAACACCUCAUAUGUCCAUGGGGAUUCUUUCCUCUGCCCUGUCCUUCCCUAUCCCUGAUGGUCAGGUCAGUUGUUCCCCAAGAGAGGAGGUAAAUGGACUGUGGCACCCCAAGCACAGCACAUGCCUCCCUCACCCUUGACUCUGCCAACAUUAACCAUGAUUUCCAGUAAGCAGAGCCAGUCAGCUGAACUUUAACCAUUCAGCUUCAUAGCCGCCUCUGAUAAAUGAGCCCUGCACUUGAGACAUCGAAAGGGAACCAGUUUCUGGCCCACAUUUCAAUGAAAGAUGCCUGGCCUAGAAGCAGCUUGGCCUGGGCAUCAGAGAGGGCUUAGCAGCAAUGCUGCCAUUGAUCACAUGGGCCGUGCACACAUGUUGCUCAUGUGCACCUUCAGAGGAGAUGGGGAGAAGCACACCAGGGCUGUGCAUUAUGGGAUUAAUGCCCCCCCUUUGGAGGGAGACUGAGGAAGGAGGCCAUUAUUUGUCGAUGCUUAUGUAUGCCCUGGCCUGCCAUGUGGUUUAAGCAGGGAGAGAGGGGAGAUAUCGGAUGAUAAUCCAGGCCUAGAGGCUGGAAAUGAAUUUCAACUUGUCACCAUAGGCCAGCAUACAGACUCCCCAUGGGAAAUCAUUAAAUGUGAGCUCUGUGACCUUCGGCCAAUUAUUAGCCUUCCUAUUUAUCAAGUUUCUUGCUUCCAAACUGUUUGUUUCCAUUUUGAAAUAGUCAAGACGCCUGGCUCAGAAACCGUCUGUAGAGCUGGGUAGAGUCUGACAAUCACACAGAAGCAUGGGCAGGAUCGGGCCAGUGCCGAGGGAGGGGAGCACAUGACCUCAGGGACGGAGGACGACUUAGGGGAGGCAGCUUCCCAGCUGAGCCUGCCACUGGUUUCCAUCCCAGUACCCUGGCCUACAGUCCCUUGGUGCCAUGAGUCUCGCCUUUCACCCAGUGUCAUCUGGGAGACAGUAACGAUGACUAAAUUGCAUUCCUCUUUCUCACUGCUACUGCCAGUGGCCAGGAGCAGGGCAAUAGCAGAGACGAUGAGAUAUGACCUUUCAGACACCCACUGCCAUAAUCAGGAGUACCUGGGGCCACAAGGCAGAGGAAAGGCAAGGGAAAAGGCUUGAGGUUAGUUCCUGCCCAGAAAGAAGUUCAAGAAACCCUAGGGAGGAGAGAAGGGAACAGAGAUCAUGCCAGACAUGGCAGACAGGCUUCCAGUCAGCCAGGGCUACAGUGGAGGAGGCAAAUGAUGUGGGAGGAGUCCUAGGUGAAGAGUGAGCAGAUGGCUCCCCCCCCCAGCCCCAAUCCCAGGAGGCUAUUGGAGAUGUUCCUUGUAAACAGAGAACAUUUCUGCAGAAGCCUCUUGUUUGUCCCUUGCUGCUUGUGCCCCAAGAUAGGGUUAGCUAUACAGCUGGUAACACAGAGAGCAGUAGCAACCAUUUACUUACCACCUACAGCAAUGAAAGUGCCACUCAAGGCUCAGCUAAGCAUUAGGAUUUGCAAACCAUGAAGGCUAAACCUGCAGCUUGAAGAAGCAGAAGGAAAAUCAAGAACCACAUUUACAUCAGUGAGCUACAGGGACGGGCUGCCAGGCCACACUACCACUGUCACCAGCCAGCUGACAGGUCCCUGUGCAGACAGACAGCCAUCACAAUUUUGGUCCCGGGUCUCUCUAGCUCAUCCCCAUGGGCUUAGAUAGUAGAGACAAAAAGACUUGAAGCCUGUAGGACCCACCAGCAUGGCCCAUGGACUCUUCUAUUCCAAUAUAGACUUAGAGUCAGGCAAAGACAGUCAUCAGUGAGGGCUCUGCAUCCAAUUUCCUGUCACAGUAUAAGUACUCAUGCCAACUAGGAGUGUCACUUCCACCUGGAGUCAAACACAGAAGAGGUUUUCAGCAAGUAUACUGGGGGAAAUUAAAAGGUCACUGUGUUCACUCAGCAACACCUUCCUGGGUUUCCAGUGGCCUAUGAAACCCUUGCUGUUCCAGAUGUCCAGUAAUUUCUGUUUUCUUAGCCAGACUCUCAGGAUGGAGCAAUGCGGGUUCUAAGUCAAUAUGCAUGGCCCUUAGCUGUGUGGACAUGCAUGGGUAUUUAUCUAUCUUCAGCAAUCUUCAUUUGGUGCUAUUUGUGGCUAACUGGGUGUGGAUGUAAUAGGCCCUCCCUUCUUGCCCACUCCUUCUCUUUCCUUCCUUCCUUCCUUCCUUCCUUCCUUCCUUCCUUCCUUCCUCUUUCUUAAUUCAUUAAAACCAAGUUAGCAUGACAUGUAGAUUUCUGUGCUCCCCUUUUAGACAGGGGUUGGCUUCCAGUGUCUGAGAACCUCCCAUUUUUAAUUUUAGUAUCAGACAUGUUUUUCUUUUCUAUUAGUCACUGGAAAGGACAAUGCCAGACUGUCAUUAGAGCCUCCCUUUCGGUGAGCUGGGAUUGGCAGAUGUACAUGGAUUGAGAUCUUUUGACACAAAGGCUUUAAGGUUCUUGCUAAAUUUGAACACCCUGAUUUAUGCCCCCACCAUGGUGAGGUCAGAGCUGUAACAACACAAGAUUUAACUUCUUGAAACCCGUGGUGCCUUUCCUUGUGGUGCUUUUCCGUCAUGUGACUCCACUUAAGGUGGCCACUUGCAGCAAACAACAGUACCAGGACUUCUCUUGAGUCUUCCGUGCCAGCGCAGUCAGAGACGAGAGCGUAUACACAUGUCAGUCAACAUGGAUAUAGAUGGACCACUGUGGUUCUGUAAUUAUAUAUUUGAGGUUCUGAUGCAGCUUUGGUGGGGGUUGAUCACUCCUCUACAAAAAUAUAAUGCUCCGCUAGACCUACUGACUCUUUGGAGAAUAAUGACCUUAGGGAUAGAUGCUGACAGGCAAGAUGAGCUACCUGUCUUCCUGUCCCUGGGAUGAGCUCUCUUCUUUUGUGAAAGUUGCUGUCUCCAUGACACAGAGCACUUGAUAAAGGAGCACAAGGCAGCUUCUUUUAAACUUCCUUUGGUGCUGAUAUUAAAAAUAUAUAUAUUCUUUGUUCAUUUUGCUUCUUUUCUCGUGGCCAGAAGCUGCUUUUCAAAAAAGAAAAAGAAAAGAAAAAAAAAAAAAGAAAAAUCUCAACUCACCAAUCAAAGUUGACAAAGGAUGGUUUGGGAAUAAGAGGUGAGAGGUCGGGCAUUCUUGAUUUGAGUCCAGACUCAAGACAGUUUCCUCUGUAACCUUCUUUGGUCUCUCAGACUCAGUUUCCCCAUCUAAAAUGGUUACCAUACGAUUUCCAGACCUCAUGGGGAAGGCUAUUAGUGGGAUUGGCUGUUGGGGACACAGUCAGUAAAUUAAUUCGGAGACAGCAGCUUGACCUGACUUUGAGAUUCUGUGUGUAUGUCAUUGAGAUUUUCACCCCGAGGCUUGGUUUGCUCCCUCUCUGCAGCUACCAUCAUGGUUUCAUCUCCUCCCUCCAGGACCUGUGGACAGUAACCGAUGGUGAGCCUCUAGGGCGUUAGGGAGUGCUAAUUUCUCCCAAGGGAACAUCACUAAUGCUGUUUAAGGUGCUAGAAUCAAACCUCAUUUUAUACACUUUGGUUCUUAGAGAAAAAAAAACAUGCAGAAUUCUUUCUGUGAGGCCUUAUAAUAGAUUGUUAUAGCUGGUCGUUUAUCCAAAAAUCGAGAGGGAACAGAAACCACAAAUAAAAUGCAGAGACUGCAUAAGCCGUAACUAAAAGACCUUUGUUGUUUCUUAUAUUAACGUAAACUACCAUAUAUGUAUACACACGUGUGUGCAUAUAUGUCUAGAUAUGCUGAAGGCAUAUAGCAGGAGUGGAAAUGUGUACAGUAUUCUAAACUCUAUUCUCAGUUUCCCCUUGGUUUGUGACUUUGGGUACAUGUGUGUGGAGGAGAGUGGUGAGGGUUGGGUGACAGGUGCUGAGUGUGAAAUAGGAAGUCUUUCCUCUUCUCUUCUGUUCCACAGCACAGAGAAGGCAGGCUGAGUGAGAGAAGAGAGACACAUAGCAAUGUAAAUGUGCUUUCUCAUCUUCUGCGCAUGGAUAUUUACAUUUGGCUGUGGUCUGUUCUCUAAUCAUAUUGAUGACUGCCUAAGGUGUUCACACAUGACAUUUACCUCAAGAAAGCUUAAAAAAAGGGUUUUUUUUCCUCUCUCAUUUCAUAAAAAGUAGUGACUCUCCUCUAAUCAAAGUGUGGGGCAUUGCCACAGAGAGAUCAAUAAGAGAAUCAAACCAUUUCUGGUGCUUUUCUUCAGGUCUCGUCCCCAAUCCUCUCCUUUAACUGCUACUGUAAAGCAAAGCUCUGAGCUCUUACUUUGGACAAGAAGUGGGGAUUCAGGCAUGUGUACUGGUGAACCCAAACUUUGCUGGAACAAGCAGCAAGGGGGUCUUUCAAAGGUUGGGGUUGGCUUGUGUGGUUUUGGUUUGGUCUGGUCUGGUCUGGUGUGUGUGUGUGUGUGUGUGUGUGUGUGUGUGUGUGUGUGUGUGUGUGUACACUGUAUAUGCGUUUCUGUGUAUGAUGUGUCUGAUGGACAGAGAACAAAAUACUGCAAACAGAAAUGAACAGAAAAUAAAAUCAAUCUAUCAGAUGCUAUUUCUCAGAUGAUGUACUCGCUCGCCUUGGUGAGAAGCCACUGUCUCACAGCUAUGCAAUCUUCCAGUUUCCCUCCACCCCCUUCACCUCAGAUUCCAAGCUGUUUUCCAUAUCCCUCACGGAUUGUUUUUUUUCCUUUAUCCAAGAACCACAAUGACCAAUCUCUGGUUCAAGGUGAGCAUGCUACAGUGAUUCUUUGCCUGAAUUUAAGAGCUAACAACCACAACGAAAGUUUUCUUUGCUUUCAUUUGAAAUGAUUCGAUGUACUAAUCCUGUUUGGUUCUGUAAGUGAUCUGAUGUGUAUUUUGUGUUUCUGUGUUUACAGUUUGUUUUCAUCCUCUUUUGGUUCGAAAUGUUUAAUUUCCUUUAGAGAUUCUACUUUUCAUGGUAUAUGUUUUGGGGAUGUGUUGACUUAAUGAAAGAAAAAAAUUUGGCUUAAGUGGAACAAUGAUCCUGUGAUCUCUGUGGCUGAGGGUAGGGUGGCGGGCAGCAUGCACCUGGAGCUACUGUUGUAGCCCUCCCAAUUUGCUCCUAAAUCAGGCCAUAGCUGGAACCUGUUGGAUGUUUCUCUCUUUAUUUAUAGUCAUCUAUACGGAGUAACCUGUCCCAGAGGGCCAAGUUGAACCUUCCACCUCAGCCAGUUUCAUCUUCCCCAGAUAGAUGUCAUUUCAUACCCACUGACAAACCUCACUUUUCUAUCCUUUCCAGUACCCUGUCCCCUGACAACAUGGACAUCAACUUGCCUCUGUUUUCCUUUUGAAGCUAAUGUAAGUACAAGGGGACUCUUCAAGGGCCUGAAAGCAUAAAUGUGCAGGAAGUCAGCCCUUCACCUACACACUGUACACAGCGUGUGCUGUGUGGUGGAGUGACAUUGUGAGUAUGCCACAUCCCAGCUCGUUGAUAAUGUCCUGUGAGGCUAAUUCAACUGCUAAAGCUUCGCAAGGUCUUGAGAUGAAGUUGUGGAAAAGAAGAGAGCCCUGGGGUUCUAUAAAGCACAACCUAGGCAGGGAAAGGCCCUGCAGGCAGAAGGCAGCUCCUCCCUUAUUUAGGCUGAGAAUGCACAAGUCUGAUUUUUGUUCGUGGUUUACAAAUCUUGCACAAGGUGGCUGAGCCAUCCAAGACAGUUUUUAACAGACAAACUCAGACACUGCCUAACUGCUGUAGCACAAGCUGCUCCCUCUCCCUAACUGAUGGGAAUUCCUUGAGAUAAAGAAGGAGAUCACUGCUUGCAUGAGAGUAGCAUAGUCUUUAGCAUACCCCUGACCCCCGCAAUCUCUCUGCUCUCUUAGCUAUCAGGAGAUGCUUGAGACACAUCCCAGGAACUUUGUCCUCUUUCUUUCUUCUAAAAGCAAUACCUCUUUGGAUGUUGUUUUCUGGAGACUUUGAGGUCCACUUAUAUAAGCACCCACUCCUGGAAAUCUCUGCCAGAAUCUAAGCCAUCUCUGAGGUUUAGAAAAUCCUGCCAGCAUUUAAAACACUUAAGUAGUGGUUAAGGAGUUGGGGCUCUAUCUAUAGUUGCUGAGAUCCUGACCUGUGACCCCUUCCUCUCUGGACCUAUGCUAUCCAUGUUCAGGUCCAGAUAUGACCACUCAGCUCCAAUGUUUAUAGGUCUUCCGAGAGACGAGUUUCAGGCAAAAUGAAGAGAAGCCAUGGGGAGAAGUAUGGGGACUGUCAACUCCCAAGGAAAAGUAUACAUAUUCCUGCCUCUGAGGCCUGUGAUCGUAGUGAUUCUCAGGGACUGUGUCUGUGGGUGCUGACUGUUCAUGAUCAUACCUAUGUUGAGGAAGCGCCUGUCAGAGUGGGCAUGCCCUGCCGUAGAUGUGGGCUAGUGUAUGGUAGAAGUGCCUACGAUUAGUUGCCACUUAAGACAGUGCAUGUCAAGAAUGCCCAGGCUGAGGAAGCAUGUGAAGAGUGUUCCCAGGAUGACUUAUCAGGGGAAGGAAGCUGAUCAGGAGACAGUCAAGCUCUCAAGUUCCCUGUAGUACCAGGAAUCACACUGUCAGAGUAAGCUCCAGCAGGACCUUGGGCAGUGUUAGCCCACUGUAGCAGGGCAAUUUUAGAAGGACAGGGGACUCCCAUUCAUGGGAGGCUGACAUAACUAAGAGCAAGCAGAGCAGGAGACUGAUGCUGCCCCCUUGCCUAGCUCAGUUCACCAAAAUCUUGCAAGGUCAGAAGUCUCAGUCCAUGUUACAGGUCAAGAAACAGAGGUCCAUAAUGCCUUAAACAUGGUUCUGUGGUCAGUUAGAGGUAUAGUUUGGUCUAUAUAGUUGGUCCUGGUCUGCCUUGGGGGUUCACUCCUUUUUAGUCUCUUCCUGAAUCAUUCUUUUCUUGCCAAAGCUCACAAUGAUCAGGUGGCUCACAUAGCCUGGUAGAGAGGGAGAUGGAUACCAAGAGACCUGCCAUUUUGUUUCCAUCCAACAAACACAGCAGGAGGGCCCCAGCUGAGGUGUCAGCUGGAGGUAGGGAUGAGCAUAGGGCUGGGGACCACAUCUUCUCCUGUCCCUACAUUUCUAGGCAGGUUACUUGCCUCCAAUGAGCUUCUGUUUUCCUGUGUCAAAAAUGCAGAGGUGGGACUGCAGCCUUUAUGAACAACGCUACCAGAGAACACUCAAGAGCAGGAUGGGCAAGUGCAGUGAUGGAAAGUCUCAUAUAAUGAGCUGAUGUGUUCAGACCUAGGAAGGCCAACCAUGCUCCAAACCUAAACCAGGGAAGGGAAGGCAUAAUGACAAGAUGGAACCAGCUUAAGUGAGAAUCACAGCCUCCAGCACCAGAGGCAGGAAGCAGCAAUGAAGGAGAGCACAGGGAGCAAAGAGGGAGCCAGAGAAGUGGGCAUGUGGGGUAAGUGAGAGGGGUUUGAAGGUGGGGAAGGUAAGAUGGAUCUACUCUGCUGACCCUAUCAACCCCUGCCUUCAUAAGUUUGCAACAGCAGCUCUGCCAGCUUAUUGCCUAUGAGCUCUAUGACUCAGUGCACUUGUGGACACACACUCCCAACUCAGCACUAAUCCUAGAGACUGUCCACCAUGAAAGCCCAGGUACAGAGCUGAGUAUCACUGGACAGGGCACAGUAGGAUCUCAGGGUAUCAAGGAGACACUGUCAUCUCAGUUUUGUUCAUGUCCUCUGUCACAGGUCUCCAAAGACAAAAGUCACUGUCUCCUUUGUUUCCCAUAGGAUACCAUGAAAUCAGAUAGUCUUCCUUCAGAACUGUCCCAAUGUUGCCUACUAUAGUCCCAGCUGCUUCCCUUGCUUUGAGUCCCCAGUGGACAGAGAUCCAGUAUUUGAGAGCCUUGGAUACCCUUGGUCUUGCCUGGUCCAGGAACUCCUGAAGACAACAAUGGGAAUCCCAAACUCACCUGGCCAUAUUCUCUGAGAAGGAUGUGAUCUGACAGAAAGCCCCACACCCACAGCCAGGCUGGAGAAAUUGUCUGGCCUCAUGGUGGCUUCUAUUUACAGGUUGAUAUCAUGUUGUACUACUUGGAGGUGAACUACUGUACCCAGCCUCCACUUCUUCUCUAAACCUUCUGGAACUCUCUUUCAUACCAAUGUGUUAAGAGGAAUGGUGCUUUGGAACCGUUCACAGUGCACAAGCCGGAGGCAGCUCAUGGUUCCCUGGAGAGUCCAGGUGGAUAACGGGGCAGGCUCGUGACAUCCCGAAUAGAAGGUGGACUGUCUUCAAUUUAUCCUGUUUAUCCAUGUGUUUGGACAAAAUACCUUCAUUUCACUAAGCACAUCCAUGUUGCAAGCCCUGUAUAAUUUGUACGCUUCAACAAUCUUUGUUUUUCCUAUGUCUUGGACCAAAAAAUAUGUAUGUCUUUUCUCAAAGUAAUUAAAUGUGCUUGAAAUGGGAUGAAGAAAGGUUUCAAAAUUAGGGUAAAAUAUCCUUAUAAAUGACACUUCUGCCAACUCUAGACCCGUCCUAUUAUCCCUUAGCUCUGAGGAGCUAGGGGGGAAAGGUAGUUUAAUGGGAGCAAAUGGUGAUUUUUCUAUAAAUACAUGCAAUGCUACAAGGAAAUGUAAACACCUUUGAUUCAAUUUCACAUUUCAUUUCUCUCUCUCUUCUACUGAUCAUAAGGAAUCGGUUGGUGUAUAUCAAUGGUUGACAUUUCAACUUAUAUUUGAAGGUUUGUUUUAUUCUUUAACAAUGCUGGGCUAGCAUUGACAACAACCAUGGUUACAUUUUACAUUACACUCUGCGUGUCCCUGGCUGUUUCUCUUUUUAUGGUAUAAUGGUCUGUCCAUGAGUUGAAAUGCAGAGAAUGUCAUGUAUACUGAAGACGGAACACACUGGUGUUGAUUUGGAGGGAAAACAUAAUGAUAAAUAUAUUUAUAUAUGUGUGUGUAUGUGUGUGUGUGUGUGUUUGUAACUAGGUGAAUGGGAAUACAUCACACACACACACACACACACACACACACACACACGUACGCACACGCACACAUGAGUAUUAUAGCCAUGCAUUUCUAAAGUUUGGAUUCGAUUCUUAGGGAUUUCCCACCUCACUGAGCUUUCUAUAAUUAUAAGAUUUCAUUGGAAAUAACUAAAUGAUUGAAAGGGGUUUGCUUUAAAAAUUUGUUCCUUCCUCCUUCCCUUCUUUCCUUCUUGCCUUUUCCCCUCCUCCCUUCCUUUCACACUAGAAAGCACAAUUUCCUUUAUUACUUACCCUUUUGGUUCCAUAGCUAUAGUAUAGUCCAAGGAGGAAACUGGAAUUCCUUCCUUGUCUCUGCCUCCUGCUCUUCAUUUCACCCAACACCAAGAGAAAGCAGAAAUGACUGCCCAUGCCAAAUCUCCUAUACAUGUGCUCUGUUCCCCAAGUUUUUCCAUGCUUAAGCUUCCAUUCCAGGAGAACCUUCCAGAGUUUGAAUACCAGUCUCCCUUUUCUUUCCAUGCAGGUUCUAGGUCACACCCACCAUUGGAGCGGUCCUCCCUAGAUGCCUACACACGUUGUACAAAGGUACAGACAGCAGGAAGUUGGGGGCCACUAUAAGCCCUCCUGCAUUUGGUAGAGACAUCACAUGACUUAGUAGCAAAGAACACAACCAACGUUCAGAAUGUGUUUAUUUUUUUCAAAGUUUUUUUUUUGUUUGUUUUUUUAAAGGAAGGUCCAAUGGGUAGGUGAUGCUAAUGGUCAACCAAGAAGGAGACAUGGGUGGGACUUAUGAACAUAAAGGUCAGUUUUGCCCAUGAAGUGACCUCUCUGCUUCCUUGUGGGCAUGCUUCUUAGAGGGGGGAGCAGACAGACAGACAGACAGACUCCAGGCAAGUGAGGGUAGCUUGGAAGUGAGGAAUAAUAGCCACCUUCAGCUCACUAUGAAAGGCCUCUUUUUUCUAGACAGCUCAGUUCUGCAGGAUGUGCUGGUCCUUCUCUUGUCUGUCCACUGUUAGUUUUAUUUGUGAGGGGGGUAUUUCUGAUGAUGUGUUCUCAUUAUUUCUAAGUUAAACACUCAUUGAUCCCUAGGAAGGGAGAAGACACUGUUCCAAAGAGAAAUCAUUCUAGAAAGAGGCUUUUCAUCCUAGCUGUUAUUUUCUCUUGAUAUAGCUCCCUCUAUAAUUCACUCCCAACUCCCCCAUCCAUUGCUAGUUUCUGUGUGCCCUACUUCUGGAUAAGAAUAACGUCUAGGCCUAAGGGACUUGUAGAUCACUGAACCAUAAGCAGCAGUAUACUUCAAUGCCAGUGACAAAUGAUACCAGUAUUUCAUUACCUCAAAUUCAAGGUUCUGUACAGCCACGGUAGAAAUUUUACACUUUGGGCUACUCACGGCCACUGUGUCUGCUAUGCUGUGACCUUCUUUGCAAGGGCUGGUUGUCAGACAAUGAAUCUAUUAUACCUCAAAGGACUUCCCUGCAAAAACAAUAUUACCAAUGAAAAUUCAGCCAAUUGACCACCAAGAGUAUUUUCUAUACCAAGCACAGAGCUAGAACCAUAUGGGAUCAAAAUAUAAAACAUAUUUCAAGGCAUUUAAUAAAAGGAGUAAGAAUUGCACACAAAUUCUAUCACAACAUAGGAAACAGCACAAGAGAAGUGUACAGUGCAGUGGGCAUCUGCCGAAAGAUGGUAUUUCCAAGAAGAAGUAUAUGCAAAGAUUUGGAAAUGGUAGCCUCUAGAUCAGAUUUUGAAGGGUUUAAGGGAUGCUUGGAGAUGAAACACUAGGGUUAGCUAUAACUUCAGUCAGGUAUCAUGUGUCUACUUAAGAUUGUUUUCUUCCUGAUAAGAAUGCAUUCUGAUCUCCAGCAUGCAUAAGGUGUGGCUUUCUUCCCAGAACUGGGAUUGCCAAUUCCAAGUGUAGCCUAGCAUUGAAGAUGGACCUUGGCCUGAGCAUAGCCUGUGAGAUGCAGAGGAUGGCACGUUUAGUGCUUGAACUAGAGCAACAGCCAUCAAAUUUCCUCCAUUUCCCUUAGUCUUAUUUCUUAUUGUUAUUAUCUCUUUAAUCUUCCUAUAGUAGCAAUUGUUACCAAUCCACAAUCCAGGGUUUUUUUCAGCAGAUCAGAACUCAGCCCUAUCAGCCUAGCAUCCAUCCAGAAAUGAUGGACUACAACUUCAUCUGAGUGUUUUAAGUCCUGAUCUUCAGGAGAUUAAAGUUGAGCAUCCCCCUUAUUCUGCACCUGCUAAUGGCACUCGACCUUUGCUCACCCUCACAGACAUCAGACAUCAUGACAGGUUGUCUUCUGCUGAGUGUGUGGGUCAAAGUGUCCCUCACUUAGAUCUCACUCAUGUUCGGGAAAAUCCAAUUCAAAGGGGUUGAGUGGAGUGGUACUCUCUGGGAUUCAAAAGACAAGAAGAUGGUCUAACACCACUGAGUUUCAAAAACAGAGGUGGUGACAUGACUUUCAGAAGCUCUGUGCCUCCCCUGUCUGUUGAGCAUCCCCCUGUUUUAAAGUACCUCCUGAAUUUAGGAAUUAUGAACAUUGAUGAGGAAACAAACACAGUGUACUUCAUCUUCUUCCCUGCUCCAUUCCUUGAAAUUCUCCAGUACUGAAUGCCAAUGCUUGUCUCUCUUGACCAUUUGUAGAGGAUUGUAAGGGCCCAAAGAGCCCUCCUCCAAAGCAAUGCUCACUUCGGAAAAAUGUCUCAACCAGGAAAAAAGACAAAGAGAGUGGACAGUGAUAACAUGUUCCUUUUUCCCCAAGCUUCUCCAAGACAGAGGAUGUUUCUUGCACCCAAAUUAUGCUAAUAUUGAUCUCAAGCUGGAAGAAUAAGCCCCUCUAUUCCAGCACGUCCAGGAGAAAUGAGACUGUCACUAUGCCUUGUUAGCUAUCAUUCUUGACCACCAUGUCUUUACAUCCACAGACCAUUGGCUUCUGUCCUGAGCUGUAGGGACUUAGAGAGGUCAUGUGAAUUUAUAUUCUAUGACAGGGUUAUGGUUACUGAGAAUAAGGGAGAAGAAUAUUCUCUGAGGACUAGAGAAAGUAGCCUUGCAUUACUUGGCCAACUUUCAAAGCUCCCUGUGAGCUCAGAAGCCAUAGGCCAGUCCCCCAGCAUCCUUUUGGGCACAAACUGAUUGUCACUGACUCCUUCUUUGCCACUGUUCCAUCCUGUUGUCAUGGCUGAUUCUGAGAUCUCUGCUGGAAUACUUUAUCAACAGUGUUCCUAAGGCAGUAUGUAUCAUUUUCGUUAUAUUAAUUACUCACCAGAUGCCUAUUUCCAGAGCAGUGUGUAUUUAUCUCCCAGUUAGUCCAUCGUGGCCAUUGAUGGCGAUAUUUUAAAGUUCUCACUGCUUAACAGUGAUGAGACAUGGCAUUGAUCUUUCUUGAAACCUUCUAGAAAGAGUUACCAUUUCCUAGUUUGACUUGGCAAACUGGAGCAUAUGAGUUGGCCGGGCAUGUAGCCAGUGGUUUUUUUCCAAGGGGAUUGAGAAUAAAGUUCUAUAAAGAGAAAUCUGGGAUUGAGGAAGCUAUGUUGGGACAUCCUAAGCACAGCUCCUAUCAAGGAGAAUCUAGUUUCACCACAAUCCAAGUAGGAGGGUGGCAUACUGGAUGCAAUGUCAGCCUAAUACCCUAGCCCUAAUGCAGUUUCCUCCUUGGAAAAUACAGACAAUACUCUUUAAUGUUCUUUGCUAGCCUGGAAUUCUGUUGUCAGCACACCCACUCAUCUAACAAAGGAACAGUUCAGUUCCCCCUUUCCUAACUCACCCUAAUGUUUAUAAGUCUAAAAAUCCAAGGAGAUAAUGGUGGUCCACAUAGAAAGAACCUGUCUCAAAACAAACAUUCAAAGUGUGAAAGGAGAAGAUCUGACUGUCCUCAGACAAGGUGCUAAGCUGGCAGCCAGACAUCUUAGAUGUUCAAAAAUUAACCACUGAAUCAAAUAAUGCCAAGCACAAAAGAACCCCACCCAUGCUAUUGUCCUUUAGAAGACAUCUACAGCAGAUGAGUGUGUCCCUAAUCCUGUGCUCUGGAUAGGGAAAGUCAUAAUGCUCCACAGAAUGGAAAGGUGACCUGUGUUUAAGAGAAACAAAGAGGCUUCCCACGGCAUUUCCUGAAUGAGUGCUGUGUGCUUUGCCUCUGAUCACUAUGAAUUAAGUGGUUUCACACCCAACCGGAGGAGGCUGGAGGUCAGAGAAGCUGGCCUGCCUGAGGCACACGACUACAAUGAAGCAAGAAACCACCCUAGACUCCAGUGUCAGUUUGGUGAUAUGCAAACCACGCCAAGCGUUAGGAAUGCAGAAGCCACCUUGCCACCAUGCCAGUGCCAACAGCAUCAGUUGGUGAAGUCUUUCAGCCAGGGGCAGCUCCAUAAUGGCACCAAGUACCAAGAGUGACUCAUGCAGAUGUGUCCUGGACAAGGACUUUUAGCUUUUAGUUUGCUUUUUCUGUCAUCCCGUCCCCUAAUUUCAUGCUGUCCCUUUCCUCACAUGAACAACAUCUGUUAUCACAAAUCUUUAAAUGAUGCAUCAUCUGGAGAGAUGAGGCCUGGCUAUUUAUGCAGAACUCUGGGGAUUUAUUUGAAGACUAUAGCAUUUGUAGAGGCUAUUAAGGCAGACCAGGUUUUUAAAGUCAUCCAUUGACAGGAAGAUCCAUCCCCAGCAAAGCCUGUUUGGACAUUAGCUGUCUUGAAGGUGCCGGUCACUUUAGAGGUGCCCAGCGCAAUGUGCAAAGGACCACACUGUGGGCUAUCCUGUGGGUCAGACUGGGCCAGGAACAAAGAGCAUUUCCAAGGUGAUUACUUUAAGAGAGUGGGCUGUGGCCUGGUGACUAACUCUGGGGAAACUUGUUCAGAGAGAUGUGGAGGUAGGGUCUCUUCUGGCCAAAGAGAGGAGUGGAAGCCCCUUUUUGCCAAAAUCAAGGAACGUACUUCAUUUUAGAGGUAGCCCAUGCUUCCUCUAAUGGCCAGAUUUUAACCAACCACGGAGUACUUCCUGGACUCACACCACCACUUCCCACGCAGUGUCAAGCAGGGAGACUUCCUGAUAGCGCAGAGGACUCAGAGGUUCUUACUAGGCUGGAGCUGUGAGUAGAUGAUCUACCCAUUUACACAGGUCACUAGGAGAAAGCCAAUGGAUCAUGCUACCAGCCACAGCUCAGAGAUGAAACACUGCUUUCCACAUCCUACACACUUCUAGCUAAUGGUGCUCCCAAAGCAACUCUUGUGCCAAAACGGCCUCUUUUGAAAUCGGCCCCAGGUUCACCAUCACUUAGGGCAGAGUGUGGCUUUCUUGGACUUGGACUCCAGAGAGCUUCAUGAGGAAGGCCAAAGACCAACAGGCAGGGUUUGUGGCUUCUCUCAGCUUCUGGUCUGCUGUUGUCUGUGUCCAGUACCAAAUGUUUGCCCCCACCCCUAACCUUAGUCAAAGAAAGGGUGACCAAGUGCCUCUCCAGUACCUCACGGACCUCCUAAAACACCCCAUAUUCCUGAUGCUGCAGGUCUCAAGAGGCACGUCUUCCACGGGCUCCCUUGUUCUUCUCAUAUCCCAGACGUGGACCUGGUCAGUCCUUUUAGCCAGCUUACUCUUUUCCAGCCUAUUGCCCCUAGGUGAGGCUCAGGAAGUGGGUCACCCAUUCUUAGAUGUCCUAGAUUCUUGAUGUUUUUGUUGUUGUUGUUGUUGUUUUGAUUUGUUUUUCCCCUUCCUUCCAGUACAUGAGACUGUGAGAGGCACUGUCUCCUUGGCAACGGCCGUCCAUUUACCAAAUGGAGGUGGGUCUACCCUCCUCACCCUCUCUGCUUGCUUCUGUUGCUUUCUUUCUGAGCAGUAGGUGGCGCCACCCUCUCUCCCAACAGCCUGGAAGAGUGACUGAAGCACAAUGCAUUGUGGCCAGGAGGCUCAGGCAUUGUUUUCUAAGUACAAUGAAUAGGGAAAGCUCAGUGAUGCGGGACUCCCUUGGGAUCCUCCAUUCUUCAACUCCAAUUUUCUAGUUAUUUUCUCGUUGAAAUUGUUACCAGUUUUGAAGGAGUAGACACCGUGUGCUGGCGAAUUGUGCAAACCACCACCCUCUCUCCUUCCUAGCGUUGGGAGGCACGACCCGCUAAGCACCCUGUCUCUGUUAAGACCGCCAUCUGUUUUUCUGAGUUGAUUUCGAUUGGUGCAUUCUCACUUAUCAGGGACCUCUGAUUCUAGAACAAAAUCAGCUACUUAUUCUAGUUACUGUAAGCAGACACAUAACUUUUACUGUAAUUUGAAAACCCUUGCACUGUAAUGGUAUUUAAACAAAAACAACAAAAGCGAAUCCUAAUUGAAACUGAUUUUGUAUUUUUGAUUACAUCUGGAUUUUCACAUUUUUGUAUCUAAUCAUAACCACAGCAGAGCUUCCAUAGCUUGUGUUCAAGGCCUUGUUUUCUUUCCAGGUUGAAGUCUUAAGAUUGUGUUGACACCAAAAGUUUAAGGGGGCAGGAUUGGGGCCUGACUAGCGGCACUUGUCAUGGAGACAUCCCUGCCCUGGUGCCAGGGAGACCUUUCCUAGAAGAGCAAGCCUCGUCGCAUCCCAUUGUGCUGUGAGUUCCCACAACAGCUCACAUCUCCAACAAAUUCAAGGCCAACGGUUUGGGUCCAACUUUUGCCAGGGACUCUCUCGACUGAGCAGCCCCCACCCCUGCGUCACCCAGCAUCCUGGGCAAGGGAGGACGUUUUUAAAAACACUAAGCUUUUGGAGUUGAUUUGUGAUUAUGCUUUUUUUCCUUCCCGCUGAAAACGUGCUGGGCAAAAGACAGCAUGAUGUUACCGCCCCUCUGCUUCUCCAAACCGAUACACCUGUUGUGCUCUUUUGUUUCUUAGUGAAGAACAUUCUAGACACAGACCUAAAUAUGAACUCUUUGCCUCCUGUAUUUCCAGUUAGCAGUUCUCCCCGUGUAUCCCUAACUGUUGAUGCGUUCUCCUUCUUAGCAUUGCCUCUCACAUUUUACUUUAUUUUUUUUUUACUGAACAGCAACAAACCCACAAAGGAACAAAUUCUCUCUCUCUCUCUCUCUCUCUCUCUCUCUCUCUCUCUCUCUCUCUCUCUCUGAUGUGUAAUGUUGUGUUGUCCAGAUUCUGUAUAAAAAUAUGUAUAUGAUGUAUCUGAUAUCUGGCAGCCACUGGCUGUUACUUUAACCAAUAUAAUUAACAAAAAUGCAUAAUGUUGGUGUUUGAUUUUUUUUACAAAAAAAAAAAAACCUAGUUAAGAUGUUGUGUAUUUUUGCAUGGUUAAAAUGUACUUAGUGCAUUAAGAAGUGUCGUGGAGGUGCGCAGUGAACAGGCCAGUUUACUUUUUAAUCGUAACGGUGACUGGUUGUCAACCAGACUUAGUCCCAAUGAUGUCUGUCUGCUUUCCUUUAGCAUAAUUCUAUUUAUAACUUGUGUUUGGUACUCAAGGUUCAACAUAGCAUAUCUAUCUAUCUCUAUUGUAGUUACUGUUCCUUAGAACCAGGUUGUGGAAGUUGACUCAUCAGGUACAGCUGUGUCCAUUGCUGAUUUCUGUUGACUUACAUUCCAAUGAACAGCUGAGCAGUCCAGCUCUAAAGCACCAGGCCCUGGAGACAAGGGCGGGCAUUUCUCCUUCCCUCGAUCUCUCCCUCUGAGCAGUACUGUGGUUUUCCCUGGUCAUGGAACAUUAUUUUUUCAGUCCUAGCUAUAUAAAGGAGAAGAAAGGACAAGAAGGUAAGUGGGAGUCUAAGAAUUAUUUAUAUUUUAUACAUAAGAGUACGUAUAAUAUAUUAUAGAUAGAAAGGUAGAUAGAUGGCAAAUGUUGAGUUAGGCACACAAUGGGAGACGUCCAAGGAUUCAGAAAGAGAUGCAGAGUUUUCCUUGCUUGGAAUGGCACCAGAUCCACAGGAAAGACUGAAGAAAAAUUGAUGGCCUUUUUGUGCCUCAGUUUCUUCAUCUGUGAGAUCAAGAAGGGAGGUGACAGAAAGGGAGACAGUUACCCUUCCUGGGUCUUCAGUGCACUUAAUAUAAAAAUGGGUCCUGAGCUACCUGUAAGACUGAACUGCUGUUUGGAGACAGCACUUGGCAGCUUCUCCCCUCCUCCUCAAGAAACCCAGACAUGCUCAGGGGAAAGAUGUGUAUUAAAGAACUUACUCUAUGUCAAGAUUUCCACAGGAAAUCUCUACAGCAAGAUGGUUCCCUCACAGAACAGACUGAGGGGAUAUGACAGUAUCUCCAGUCAAGGGAGUUAAGUCCUUGCUCUAGAAUCUUAUAUUCUUUGUCAAGUCUGCAUCUGUGGGUGUGUUUAUUCCCUGGGUGUGCUAGCAGUUUGCCACCCCAUCUUUCCCCAUCCUAGACUCUGACAGAUGACCCUUGCUGGGAUCCAACAUGCCAUACCACUGGUAUUUGCAGCUUUGUGAUGUUUGGUUCCAGGAUCUGUGACUUCUCACUUGCUUGUCUUGGGGAAGAUGCAAACAGGUGCUUCCUCCUUCUCAAGCUGAUGUUAGUUAGGUUCCCAAGGACUUAGGGCUUACUGGUUUUACAGAAAACUAUCUGUCCAAUGGCCAGCUGAAUCAGUACAAGUUCUUGAAGGUCUCUGUUUUUCCCCUCUUCAGAGUUGAGGACUCAGAACACACUCACAGGCAUCUUCCUCCUUGUGGGCACUCAAGUGUUCAUGACUGUGACUGUUCCAUUGUUGUCAGCUGCUGGUGGGCAUCUUCCAGAAUGAAUUGAGUACAUUUCCUCUUUUCCCUCAAAGCCAAGGCUGGCUGCAGAGAAAUAUGUCGGCACUGUUUCUCUCCUGCACGGCCUCUAUGGCCAGAGAUUUGGGGAGCAGAGCCAGUGUGCUGAUGUUGGUCUCCAUUGUCUUGCUACUUCCCAGGAGCAAGCUCACGCUCUGGGUGCAAGGCUAUAGAAUUCAGCCCUUACUCUUGCCUGUUCCGGCUGACAGCAAAUGGAACAUACCUGAAUGCCAGAGAUGCCCUGAGAGCCCUGAGGACUCGGGUCUUCCUUUUUACAGGUGAGACAAGCCACACCCAGAGAGAGGACAAUGUGCAAGGGAUCUUGGCAGAACUGAUGGAGCUGUUUUGUCUCUCUCUGAUGUAGGACCACCAGAUCACAGAGCUCCUUUAAAUUUAUGAAAUCUGUGCGGACUAUCCCCAACCACCAUGGUUGACUCUCCUAAGUAUCUUCCAUGAUCAUGACUGAAGGGAACACACGGGUCACAUUCCACUUGCCAGCCUGCAUGAGCCAAGAGAGGAAGGCUAGUAGGACAAGGAAUGAACUGGUAUCCUCUUUAUCUGUGCUUUUGAGAGGCACUGAAUAGUAAUGAGAAUAACAGCAGAUUCUCCAUCUUUGUCCUUCCUUCAAGCUCUCCUGCUGGAUGGGCUUUGGGUCUUCCUUAAUGGUCAUAGUAGUCUAACUAUCCAUAUAUCUCCCCAUCCCUUGCCUUGAUGGCUUCCUUCAAGGUUGUCUCCAUUCAUCCCAGGAAGAACAUUCUACAGCCUUUUUUUUUUUAAAUAGCCUUUCUCAGAAAGCCACAACUUUUGAUCCACAAAGUCUUCACGUUUAAGUGUUCCCUGUUUCUUCAUUGCACCUCUCCGUCAACUUUAUCUCCAUAGAGUCACCAGAAGCUAUCAAGUAUUUUCCUCAUGCUAAAUGGUAGCUUCAAGGAUUUCCAUUAACAUUAUUUCCUCGACAGUGACACAGCCUCCUCCCCUUGCUAACCUCUUUCAGAGAGCUUAGCAGCCCCAUUAUGUGGCCAUUUUUUUCUCUGGAGGACCCUUGAGAUUUGUCCCUACAGCUUAUAAAGCUCUAACCUAGAGUGUGCUUUUGUACCCAUUUUUGGAACAGUCCACAGCCUGCUGCUGAAGCCCCUUGAUUUUUACUGCAUUACCAUGGAGAAGACCAUGAGGCUCGGCUCACUGGCCACAGCCUCCAGGCCUUAAAAGUCUUUGUUUUCCUUUGUCAUAUGACGUUGAAAAAUGUUUUUUAUUCCAGUUAGACUGGAGGAUGUUUCUUGAAAGAGAUCAAAUUCCUGAGUUGGAGAUUUUUAAAGGGCUUUAUACCUUCAAAGAAUGCUGUUCCAGCCCUUUACAGCCUAUUCCCAAGGGGCAGCUUCCUGUCCCCAACCAAGUCCCCCAAGUCCCUCCAGGCAGCUGAAGGAAAGGACCCUGGGCAUCCUUGUAGUGUCCUCUGAGAUUUGUCACAACCCCCUGCAAGGUAUGGGUCAAAUGUUAAGGUUCAAGGUUCUUUCUUGAAUUCUAUGGCCACAGGAGGUCCUCUUGUGGCUCUGUGGGGAAAAGGUGAUUUUAUAUGGCCAGUAAGUGACACAGCCAACUUGUUCCAUCAAGAAAAGAAGCUGCCACUUCUCCAAAUUAGGAGCAUAAGCCCUAAAAUUGAUAUGCUUGAUAUUGGCGAUAAUUAUCAUUAUUUUCUCUGUUUAAAAAGCUAGGAAACAAAAAAAAAGCUAGGAAACAACCAAAUUUGCAAACAUUCUUUCAUAAUCUCACUAUCUUAAAAUGGCUUCCCUGUGUACCUUCAGAUAUCAUCCUUAUGUAUGGGCAGUCUCAUUCCUAGAAAACCUUCCAUUUUUUUCUGUUACACUUUGCUUUCUCUGUUCCCAUAUUCUUAAACUCUUCCAAGAGACAGGGCCGGUGAGCAAGCACACUACCCAGCCACAGCUGAUGCCACACCCCAGCCGCUGUUCACAGUAAUCCUCCAGCCCUCGGAUGCUACUCCACUGAGCUCAGCAGGUUCCUCAGAAGGAUACCUGCAGGGCUAGCAAGGCAACAAGGUGCCUGCCAUGAAUUUUAUGUUCCCAAGCUUGUAGGCAGGAGUUCUAAAGAGUGUUGCCUGCUUCUCGGCAUGGUAUGACCAGAGCCAGAGAAACUAUAAAGGUGACUGCAAUGUCCCAGUGGCUGUAGAAAAAUGGCUCUGUAGCCCCUUCCCAAGUGGCUUUGAAUAUUCUGUCAGGGAAAGGAAGAGAUAAGCUAGAUUGCUUCUUAGAGGAUUUGGCUUGUACUGUGCACUACUUAGAAGAUAGGUUUAAUUGUGCACUAAAGUAGGUUUAGACAAGGAAGUCAUCUACCAGUCCUCCUUAGCAAUGACCAGAUAAUUUGCUGCCCAUCUUGUUUUGUCCAUAUUCCUACAGCAUGCUUGUCACGUUUUUGUCGAUGGUUUAUUGCCGUAAUCCUUACAGUCCUGUUACCCACUUUUCUUAGGGUCUGACUAAGACAACUUCUACCACAGAGGGGCCAGGCCUGGAUCUGGCCCAGACAGCUGGCCAUUAUGGUGUUUUCUCGUAUAAAUGUCUCAUCCCCACCAAGGUCCCUUAGGGAGUUCCUAAAUAAUUUACUUCUAGCAUCUCCAAGCUGCUAUACCUGCAGGCCCAAGGUAUCUCAUAAAGAGCCUUUUAUGGCUUGCUAUCGCAUGCUGAAGGAAGGGGGGUGGCCUGAUUUACCCAGGUUAUACUUGGUUCGUAUGCAGGGAGGUAGCCGUGCCCUUUGGCAGAAACUGUCCCACUUCCCCUUCUUCUACUCCAGAGCCUUAGCAGUCAGACCACCCAGUCUCUUGCCAGAAGUUAGCCCAGAAAAACAGGUAGCUGGUUGAGGUCACCUUUCCCAUAGCAUUAUAGGCUUUGUCUCCUUUGUUCAGAGCAUGGAGAAAGAGAAUAGUUCUGCUCUCCUCUAUCUUCUGCAUGCCUCCCUCUGAGUAGAUUCAAACCACAAGAGCUGUUUCUCCACUCCCCAGAGGCCAUGUGGGACCUCAUAGUUCCAUGGCCUUCAUAACUAUCCUUCCACCUGCUCAGGGGAGGGAGCCCACUCUCCAGCUGAGUGUAGGUCUUAUGGUGCAUGCAAGCAUCUGGCCUGGUUUUCCAGGAUCUAUGGUGUUCAAGGCCACUGAGAUAGACCAGCAGGAUGAUAGCUGGGGUCUUGACCUAACUUCUGCAUGAACCUUGGUGCUUCCACCUGCCACUCACCAGAAAGUGACCACAGGAAACAGUCUGGAGAACAGAAACUGGUUAGGUUGCCCCAAGUCUUGGAUGAGCCUUCUUUCCAUGGAGCCUCCCAAAGGGCAAGCCCUCUGUUAUUGUGUACUGUAAACCUGUGCUCCAGGAGCUGAGGUUUGCUGAGCUUGGGGAAAGUAGCUGAGAAAGGGCCCCCUUCUCACCUUUUGUUCACCUUUGACCUGGCUGAAUUUAGCUGCCCUUAACUUCUAGUUUGCUAAAGUCCUUAUUGCCUUAAUGACCAUCUACCAAACAGUCAGAACCAGGCGAGAAGUCCCUCCCGUGGCAUAUGUUGGAAGCCUGCCUACCCCCUCCAUGCUGCUGUGCCUGAAAGGAGACCACACUCCCUCUCCAAACUCCAGGGCCCACCUCUCACUGACAGAGCAGUGUUGCUAGGCUAAGGAGGAACCCAGGACUGCUCAGGCUGGGAGAUGCCCAGUGCCCAUGGCGGCCACCGCUGACCCUACUCCAUCCUUUGGUCCCCACUGCUUCAGAUCUGGACUCCUCCCUAUCCUCCACCUCCUGCCCAGAGACCCUUUGCCCCAUCAUGCUCAGUGCUGUUACCAUGUAGUUUUCUGUUCUGUGGAACAUUCUACUCACCUUCGGCUGCAGCGUAUCCCUUCAGCCUCUCCACCAAGCUCUUUAAGUGAAAGGCAGUGGCUGUCUUCCCUUGGACAAUAAUGAAUGUAUCUACUGUAAGUGCAGACCAUGUAGAGAAGUGGCUGGGUUCAGAAAAAAAAGAGGGUUUUGUAAAGCCUGUUUAUUUUUUUAAGUCAGUUUUGAGCAUUUCUAUUUUAUCACCCUUCACGUGGUUUUGGGGAACCCAAAUUGUAUCAAGGUCUCAUGCCAAAAGAAGCCAACAGUUGUUUUCUUCACCUUUUUCCUCCAUGCACCAUGAUUUCAGAGAUUGUUUUGGUGUCGUUUUAAAUGUUUUCUUGUGACAUGUACUGACGAUAAAAGUCAUCUUGACAAAAAAAAAAGAUUUAUACAUGAAUCAGAAAGUAUUUAUUUCAAUUUUGUACCUUUCCAUUUUAAUACAUUAUAAUGUAUUGACUCAACUGAGAUAAUAUAAACAGUUCAUUUUAAUAACA